UUUUGAUAUUUUUCAUGAAUUAAAUGAUUUUAGACUUGUUUUAAAUAUUUUAAAAUAGUUCUGACUUUCCAAAAAUUAUAAAAAAAUUGUCUAAGGGGCUUUGACCUUGUUUGACUUAGGUUAAAUCAUUUGGCCAUUUAUUUGUUGUUUUGAAGGGAUUUGAAGUAUUGUCCAUUUUAAAAUGCAUUUUAAUUCAUUUUUAAUUUGAUUUUUAACUGAAUAUUUGUUUAAAAAAUUGUGUUGAGCCAUUUAAUUGGUCUUGUGAUGUUUGACUUUC
rnacentral:lncRNA from 1 species